rnacentral:rRNA from 1 species
GAUGGCGAGUGGCGAACGGGUGACUAAUACAUCGGAACGUGCCCUGUAAUGGGGGAUAACUAGUCGAAAGAUUAUCUAAUACCGCAUACGACCUGAGGGUGAAAGUGGGGGACCGCAAGGCCUCAUGCUAUAGGAGCGGCCGAUGUCCCCCUACCUAGUUGGUGGGGUAAAGGCCCACCAAGGCGACGAUCAGUAGCUGGUCUGAGAGGACGAUCAGCCACACUGGGACUGAGACACGGCCCAGACUCCUACGGGAGGCAGCAGUGGGGAAUUUUGG